GGCGUGCGGUGGGUGCGGGUGCCCACCCUGGGCGCUACUUCCCGCAUUUGGACCCAGGUCCACUGGUGGGCAGUAGCAACAGCAAUCGCCACCAGGCCAGCGGGGCUUCUUCUGUCUGUCCAGUUAUUUUUAGGCCCAGUGGAUUUCUCUUCAGAGCAAGGCAAGGAAUAUAUGUGGAAAUUGAGGCAAGAAAAGGAACUCCCUGAAUGUGCUCUCAUCUUGAACAGUCGCACCGACCACUCUAGGGAGCUUCUUGGAUAUGUUAAAAAUGGACCCACUUGGGAUAUAUUCACUAUCAGGGGCUGAAUAUUAAGGAGCUGAUUCCGAGAGUAUCCUCUAAUAAAAGCCAUGUUUGCUAACCACCUCAGAGUUUAUAUCCUUGAGGAUUUCACCCUGCAACAUGAGUUCAACAGCUAAGUGCUCAGGGAGCUUCCCGUGGUCUCAAGCAACCCAGUUCUUAGGAAACAGUUUCUAAUAGGACUCCUGCAAGGCAGCCAUGAUGCCUGAUCCCCCCCCCCCCCCCAGGGCAUACCUCCCCCAACCCCUUUCCUCAGCCCAGCUAGUAUUAGAGACUGGCCAGCAGAACUAGUUCCGGACUCCACGCAUUGGUAGAGAUGUGGGUUACUCCGUGGCUUGGGUAGGAUCAACUAAGGAAUUUCUCAGGGAAAUGAGAUGAGCUGUUGUGGCUGAUGUUUGGGCUGGGAAUACAGAGCUUGAAAAUGAAAUUCCUUGGUGUUUUUGGUCCAAGGCAGUUUCUCCUCCCCCCCUUUUUUUCAUUUUUUGCCCCUUAAGGAGCCUCUUUAGAUGUUUUUUCCCCCCUAGUCACCACCCCAUGAUUUUUUUUUAAAGGACGAAAGUGUUUUUUAACAACUUCAUUGUGAUAUGAUUCACAUACUGUACAAUUAGCCAUUUAAAGUAUACAAAUCAAUGGCUUUUAGAAUAUUCAGAGUUGUGUAACCAUCACUUCAAUCAAUAUUAGAGCAUUUUAUCAACCCCAACAUAAACCCUGUGCCCAUUAGUUGAUACCCCCAGCCCUCCGCCCUCAUUUCCCCCAGUCCUAGACAAUCACUAAUGUACUUUCUAAUUCUAUAGAUCUGCCUUUCUGGGCACUUCAUAUAAAGGGAAUCAUAGAACAUGUGGGGUCUAUGAAAUUUUAACAGGGCUGAUACACUAUAUGCUUGUUUAUGGACUGCAUGUAUAUCUGUGCUUUAUAUCUAAAGAGAGCAAGACUUUUUUAUACCCCCACCAGUUUCCAUUGUCCACACUGAGAAGGCGUGAGCCGAGGUGACAGUGUCUCCACAGAAUUUUCCUAACCAGCUGCAGACACCAAAACUGUGAGUCAUUUGUUGACAAUACACGAUUAUCAAAAUGAGGUCUUCGUGUAAUUGGUCUACUUACUACCACCACCUCCAGAAACUGGCUACAAGUGAACUCUUCAUGAGCCUAAUAGAAGUGAAUUCAGUUUUCCUGACUAAGCCCAAAUACUACUUUAUAAAUGGAAACAUCUGAUCCUAAAUUGUAGCAACCUGAGACUUGUCUUUUACCUCCCUCUGCCUCUGAAUGGACCUACAGAAGUUUCAGGUGUCCUGCCUGCUUUUACAGCAGAGCACCUGAAGAUGUCACCAGAGUGAUGGGAUCUGGCAGUCAAAACUCCCAGACUCCGUAAACAGUUUGGGAUAACAUAAUGAAUUUGAAAGAAAAGGAUGGCAGUCUAUUAAGUGUUUUAAAUCCCUUUGAA